rnacentral:miRNA from 1 species
CAUGAUUGUCUGAGCAUAUGCC